rnacentral:rRNA from 1 species
AGAGUUUGAUUUUGGCUCAGAAUGAACGCUGGCGGCGUGCCUAACACAUGCAAGUCGAACGAGAAAGUCCCUUCGGGGAUGAGUAUAGUGGCGCACGGGUGAGCAACGCGUGGGUAAUCUACCUUUGGAUUUGGGAUAACUUCGCGAAAGCGUAGCUAAUACCGGAUAGUCUGGCUUUAAUUAAUAAGUUGGUAAAGGGUGCCUCUAUUUAUACGCAUUCGUCCAAAGAUGAGCCCGCGUCUCAUUAGCUAGUUGGUGGGGUAAAGGCCUACCAAGGCAACGAUGAGUAACUGGUCUGAGAGGAUGAUCAGUCACACUGGAACUGAAACACGGUCCAGACUCCUACGGGAGGCAGCAGUGGGGAAUAUUGCGCAAUGGGCGAAAGCCUGACGCAGCAACGCCGUGUGAGGGAUGAAGGUUCUCGGAUCGUAAACCUCUGUCAGAAGGGAAGAACGGUUAUAGGUCUAACAGGCCUGUAAAUUGACGGUACCUUCAAAGGAAGCACCGGCUAACUCCGUGCCAGCAGCCGCGGUAAUACGGAGGGUGCAAGCGUUAUUCGGAAUUACUGGGCGUAAAGCGCGCGUAGGCGGCUUUGUAAGUCAGGGGUGAAAUCCCACGGCUCAACCGUGGAACUGCCUUUGAAACUGCAUGGCUUGAAUCCUGGAGAGGGUGGCGGAAUUCCUGGUGUAGGAGUGAAAUCCGUAGAUAUCAGGAGGAACACCGGUGGCGAAGGCGGCCACCUGGACAGGUAUUGACGCUGAGGUGCGAAAGUGUGGGGAGCAAACAGGAUUAGAUACCCUGGUAGUCCA